CUCAGGAUGAACGCUAGCGGCAGGCCUAACACAUGCAAGUCGAGGGGCAGCGAGAAUGAAGCUUGCUUCAUUUGUCGGCGACCGGCGCACGGGUGCGUAACGCGUAUGUAACCUACCUUAAACAGGGGCAUAACACCGAGAAAUUGGUACUAAUACCCCAUAAUACUUUGGAAGGCAUCUUUUGGAGUUGAAAGUUCAGGCGGUUAUGGAUGGGCAUGCGUUGUAUUAGCUAGAUGGUGGGGUAAUGGCUCACCAUGGCUACGAUACAUAGGGGGACUGAGAGGUUAACCCCCCACACUGGUACUGAGACACGGACCAGACUCCUACGGGAGGCAGCAGUGAGGAAUAUUGGUCAAUGGACGCAAGUCUGAACCAGCCAUGCCGCGUGCAGGAAGACGGCUCUAUGAGUUGUAAACUGCUUUUGUACAAGGGUAAACCCUGGGACGUGUCCCAGGCUGAAAGUACUGUACGAAUAAGGAUCGGCUAACUCCGUG
rnacentral:rRNA from 1 species